UACAGAGACCUCAAGCGUUAUCCGAAAUCAUUGGGCGUAAAGCGUACCGAUAGGUGGUUUAGAAAGUCAGAAGUGAAAUCUCUCAGCUUAACUGGGAGACUGUCUUUGAAACUUCUAAACUAGAGGGCAAAGAGGAAGCUGGAACGAACGGUGUAGUAGUGAAAUGCGUUGAUAUCGUUCGGAACACCAAUAGCGUAGGCAGGCUUCUGGGUGCCACCUGACACUGCUAGGACGAAAGCGUGGGGGAGCGAAUGGG
rnacentral:rRNA from 1 species